CUGAGAUGUUAUUUUAAGUUUAAGCCCUUACUAAAGCCGGAUAUUCCCCGGGAAGAAGAGAGGAAACAACGCGAACUAGGACUGCGCUUGAAAAUGUGAAGGCCGAGGGGUUUUUUCGCAAAACACCUUUCCCCUCUCCCUCUGUCGCCGCCGUCUCCGGCCUCCAUGUGGUCGGGGGAUGAGGAUCGGACCACCCCCGUGCGCCGGUCAGCGUCUCCUUCCCGGUCUCAUAUGCCGCCUGCGCGCCGCUCGCCGCCGCGCGGUCACUGCCAUGCGGCGCCGCCAUGACGUCGCUCGACUUCGAGACAUCUAUCUUCAACAAGGAGAAGGUCUUCCUCGCCGGCCACGAGGAGGAGGGGCCUGCACAAGCCCAGAACCUGAGGGAUUCACUAGCUGAAGCGAAGUCAGACAUUGUUCUACAUAAGAAUUUUGCAGACCGAGGCUUGGCCACCGAGGCGCAAGCGCAGAUGGAGCAGUUCGAGUAGCCGCGGUCAUGGAUGGAGCUAGCGCUGGUGUUGUCAUGGUGAUGCUGACGAAGGCGAUGAGCUCUCACAGACGCCGUCUUCUUCUCCUUACCCAAUGUGACAUGCUUUGCCGUUCUGAUAAAGGUCAAGAAAAUGAAGCCGAAAGUUGUAAAUAAUAUGAAUAAGCAACGCAUCACUAGCCAUACUGUAUGCAAACAGAGGUAUGAGCGUACAGAACUAAUAAAUAGUAUGUUUGUUUAUUGUUUAUGCCAAAUUCUCUUUGUGAAUUGCUGGUAUUUCCUUCAUCGAUAUUCCCAUAGAUCCUAGGGUAAGCUGAUUUGCCAUGAGCUUGUGGGGUGAAUAGUUUUUGAGGUGAAGCUCCUUCGUCUGACAUGUUUGAUGAUGUUCCAUGCCUUGAGGACCUCAUUGCAGGAGAUACUGGAUAAGGGGGAAAAGGGGAAAGACAAAGAUAGGUCCUGACAUGACGGACGCAUUCACUAGAGUACUAACAGGUGCGUUGGUGAUCUCCCUAUCACUAGAGCAUUUUCCCCCUGUUUAUCAUUGAUGAUGUAGCUCCGAGAAGAGAUUUACAGAUUUUGGUAAUUUACCAAUUCCUUUUUCCUUUUGGAUCUACAUGGUUCUGUAUAAUAGCAGAUAAUAUAUAAUUAUAUUGCACUAGAUUAUCAAUCGAGUGGCUGAUUCAUACACUGGCCACCUGAUGGAUUCAAGGCUUCUGUGUUGCCGGGCAUUGUAGGUGGUUAGUGCCGUUAAGAACACAUGCUAGAUGGAGGAAGGGCUGAUGAAAAGAGAAGGAUACAAGCCACAGUUGCUUUGUUACAUAUAUGAAUUGGAAGCUAGAGUGAGGGUGGCGCACCUGCUGGGUUCAAAAUCCCAUUAAUAAGUGUUGUUAUUUGACCUACCUAUUGCUAUUCUUUAAUAUAAGCAUUUGGUACCACAAGCAUUUUUUUUUCUUUUUUAACUAAUGAAGCGGAAAGCCCAGAGAGAAACUAGUGAUUAAAUCAUUUAACACUAAAACAGUUGGUCUACUCAUGAUCUCUAUUGGAACGGCCUGCUUUUGUUUUUAUCCCAACGGAGUUGAUUCUGGUGCUGAUACUCUCACUAAUUUGACAGAUGUCGAAAAGUAUUCCUGUUGCUACUGUUGCAAUUGGAAAUGCAGAAAAUGCAGGUUUAUUGGCAGUUAGGAUGCUGGCCUCAAGAGAUCCUGAGUUGGGGGACAAGUAUGAUUUCUUCUUUUUUUGCAAUUCUCCUGCAAAUUUCGAAGUUUGCUUAGGGUAACUGUAUGUAUGUAUGCAAUUGAUAAUAGAUACCUCAUAGCAGUAAGUUGCAUAUGUUCGACCUGGCUCACAUAUGUUAAUUCCUUAAUUCCUGGAGUUAUACAUAAGCAGUGGUUUGAGCUGAUAUCUGCCAGGCUGCAGCAAGCCAGUGAGUAACUGAGUAGACUGAUGAGACCUUUGGUAAUGUACCAAAUUGCCAACAAAGCUAGUCAGUAGAAAUGUAGAAUCAUGAAAAAAGUUCUCAAUUGAUCAAUCUGUUCGAAAAGAAUGAUCAAUGUUACGUUACAGUUGCUCGAAAUUUGCAGUAGGUCAUUAGUCAUCAGUACAACUUUCUCAUUUUGCCUUGACCUGCUGAAAACCUAGUUACAUUGUCUGGGAGCACAAGUGAUUAUUUGGCUAGCAUGUUUUCAGUUAGGGACCUAUUUUCAGUUGUUACACUACACCUGUCUGAUGUAGGCUAAUUAAGUUGCCUCAUAAAAAGUAGAUGUUAGCACCCGACUUGCUUUCAGGGCAACUGAAUGCCAGCAUGAUCUGAGGGAUAUGGUGUUGGAGAAAGCAAAAAGGCUUGAGGAACUAGGUUGGGAGGAAUAUACUAAGCUAUACUUGAAGAAGCAUUGAUCCCUGCCUGCCCAUUGUAUUGUCAUUCUUUUUGAUCCAGUGUUGACAUAAGCAGAUUGACCCAUGUGGAGGCCUGGAGAGGGCGUGCCGACUUACAAAGUGAAAGAUGUUAACGAAGCACGGCGCAUGAGCAUCUCAGUAUCAUAAAACUUUGCUUGUAUAACUGUAACAACAUGCCUGCCUGAAAUGUUUGUUUUAGAGGAUGCCUGAAAUGUUCAUGCGGAUCUUAUGAUGAUGUUUCAGGGAAAAAAAUCAACCAAUUUUAACGAGUUCUGAAAAAAGAAAAAGAAUCGAGAACCUGUGGAGUAUCAUGCUUUAUUAGCAAUUUCCUGAUGAAGCGUGACGACUGCCGCGCCAGCACAAAUCGUGACUACAGAUAAACAUUGCAACUGAAUAGUGUUGCGAAAAGGAUUUCCUGAGAUGCAUGAACAAGAUCUUUGGUAGAAUCAUCACCAUGAUCCAUCUCGCAAGAUGCAUGUGUUGCUUGCGUCCCAAACUUUGCAUGGAUGAAAUCAGGCCAGCAAGAGCAUACAUGAACCUUAUGGCUCUCUGCACUGCUGCGAGCCAACUUUUCUUUCCAACUACCAGCUCGCACAGUGGCACACUCUUGUGUAUGAAAUGAUUGAUUACAAUCAAGAUCACUCUGAUAUGUCAUGACAUGGGCAUUCCAAAUCAAUCUUGCAACAGAUUAAGUCAUCAUGGAUGCAUGCCAAUUGCCUGCAGGCAAGAAGCUUAAUUAGUUC